UUUUUCUACAGUUCCUAUGGUGGCAACAAAUGCAUGUAUGGAUCCAAAGAUCCAAACAUUCUGUGCUUGAAAUCUAUAUCAUCAACCUUUUGAUUGUAAAUCUAAAGUGUGAACUCUUGCACAGUGGAAGGACAUUAUGUUCAAAACAACUCGACUAAUAGCCUGAAUAUGAUGUCCCUCUUGUAGACUAUUUUCAUGUGUUUAGGUACCACUUUCAGGUUAUUUGUAAGCUUCUCAUGAAGAAUAAUUUGAAAGGAGCAACACACUGGGGAGCACAUGUUAUUAUGUAUAUAGAAAAAAUGCAAGGUUGAGAGGUAUUGAUGUUUUUAAUUAUAAGAAAUUUCUUUUGAAUGGUAGUGUUUGAUUUGAGUGAUGUUUCUUAUUUAUGUUUAUAUUUGUGGUUCAAAGUUUGGUUUGGGAAUAUCCCUCAAUAGUUGGAAUUGUAGGUAGACUUUAUUGUCUUUUUUGUCCCACAAAAUGAUAAAGUUUUAACAUCAAGAUAAGUUUCAUAAAACCUAUAUAAUAAGCCCAUAUUUUAAAAAAAUUAUUUUACCUCUUUUUGUUACUAUUAAAGUUUUUGAUUUCCAUAUCUGGUAUUCCAUCUACAUAUGAAUUUCUCAGUAUAAAGGAAUGUCUAUACUUUUUAAAAUGUGUUUUUUUAACUCAAAAGUCUUGACAAAACUACUAUAGCCGGUACGU